GAUGAACGCUGGCGGCGUGCCUAAUACAUGCAAGUCGAGCGAACGGACGAGAAGCUUGCUUCUCUGAUGUUAGCGGCGGACGGGUGAGUAACACGUGGAUAACCUACCUAUAAGACUGGGAUAACUUCGGGAAACCGGAGCUAAUACCGGAUAAUAUUUUGAACCGCAUGGUUCAAAAGUGAAAGACGGUCUUGCUGUCACUUAUAGAUGGAUCCGCGCUGCAUUAGCUAGUUGGUAAGGUAACGGCUUACCAAGGCAACGAUGCAUAGCCGACCUGAGAGGGUGAUCGGCCACACUGGAACUGAGACACGGUCCAGACUCCUGCGGGAGGCAGCAGUCGGGAAUCUUCCGCGAUGGGCGAAAGCCUGACGGAGCAACGCCGCGUGAGUGAUGAAGGUCUUCGGAUCGUAAAACUCUGUUAUUAGGGAAGAACAUAUGUGUAAGUAACUGUGCACAUCUUGACGGUACCUAAUCAGAAAGCCCCGGCUAACUACGUG
rnacentral:rRNA from 1 species